UACGUAGGUCCCGAGCGUUGUCCGGAUUUAUUGGGCGUAAAGCGAGCGCAGGCGGUUUAAUAAGUCUGAAGUUAAAGGCAGUGGCUUAACCAUUGUUCGCUUUGGAAACUGUUAGACUUGAGUGCAGAAGGGGAGAGUGGAAUUCCAUGUGUAGCGGUGAAAUGCGUAGAUAUAUGGAGGAACACCGGUGGCGAAAGCGGCUCUCUGGUCUGUAACUGACGCUGAGGCUCGAAAGCGUGGGGAGCAAACAGGAUUAGAUACCCGGGUAGUCCCUGA
rnacentral:rRNA from 1 species